rnacentral:rRNA from 1 species
ACGGGUGAGUAACACGUGAGAAUCUGCAUUCAGGUCGGGGACAACCACUGGAAACGGUGGCUAAUACCGGAUGUGCCGAGAGGUGAAAGGCUUGCUGCCUGGAGAUGAGCUCGCGACUGAUUAGCUAGUUGGUGGUGUAAGGGACUACCAAGGCGACGAUCAGUAGCUGGUCUGAGAGGAUGAUCAGCCACACUGGGACUGAGACACGGCCCAGACUCCUACGGGAGGCAGCAGUGGGGAAUUUUCCGCAAUGGGCGAAAGCCUGACGGAGCAAUACCGCGUGAGGGAGGAAGGCUCUUGGGUUGUAAACCUCUUUUCUCAAGGAAUAAGUUCUGAAGGUACUUGAGGAAUAAGCAUCGGCUAACUCCGUGCCAGCAGCCGCGGUAAUACGGAGGAUGCAAGCGUUAUCCGGAAUGAUUGGGCGUAAAGAGUCCGUAGGUGGUUGUGAAAGUCUGCGGUCAAAGAGCAAGGCUCAACCUUGUAAAGGCAGUGGAAACUACACAGCUAGAGUGCGUUCGGGGCAGAAGGAAUUCCUGGUGU